rnacentral:rRNA from 1 species
CCAUCCCGCGUGAGGACUAAGGCCUUAUGGGUUGUAAACUUCUUUUAUACUGGGAUAAACCUACUUACGCGUAAGUAGCUGAAGGUACGGUAUGAAUAAGCACCGGCUAACUCCGUGCCAGCAGCCGCGGUAAUACGGAGGGUGCGAGCGUUAUCCGGAUUUAUUGGGUUUAAAGGGUCCGUAAGCGGAUCUGUAAGUCAGUGGUGAAAUCUCAUAUCUUAACUAUGAAACUGCCAUUGAUACUGCGGGUCUUGAAUGACAUUGAGGUACCUGGAAUAACUAAUGUAUCGGUGAAAUGCAUAGAUAUUACUUAGAACACCAAUUGCGAAGGCGGGUUACAAGUCUUAACUGACGCUGAUGGACGAAAGCGUGGGGAGCGAACAGGAUUACAUACCCUGGUAAUCCACGCCGUAUACGAUGCUAACUCCUUUUUGGGCUUUUGGGUUCAAAGACUACCCGAAGGUGAUAAGUUACCCACCUGGGGAGUACGUUCGCAAGAAUGGAACUCAAAUGAAAUUGACGG